GGGGGGAGGCUGGAUCCUGGGCUGUGUCCUGGCGCCCUGAGCUCCCAGGUCUUCGCUGUUGGAUUCGCGCUCCCGGCCGCGCAGCCCCCU
rnacentral:pre_miRNA from 1 species